rnacentral:rRNA from 1 species
GACGAACGCUGGCGGCGUGCUUAACACAUGCAAGUCGAACGGAAAGGCCUGCUUUCCCUUGUGGAUUGCGGGUACUCGAGUGGCGAACGGGUGAGUAACACGUGAGUGAUCUGCCCCCAACUUGGGUAUAAGCCUGGGAAACUGGGUCUAAUUCCCGAUAGGACUGCAGGGUGGUGCCUGUGGUGGAAAACGAUUUUCUAGUGGUUGGGGAUGAGCUCGCGGCCUAUCAGCUUGUUGGUGGGGUAAUGGCCUACCAAGGCGGCGACGGGUAGCCGGCCUGAGAGGGUGGACGGCCACAUUGGGACUGAGAUACGGCCCAGACUCCUACGGGAGGCAGCAGUGGGGAAUAUGGCACAAUGGGCGGAAGCCUGAUGCAGCGACGCCGCGUGGGGGAUGACGGCCUUCGGGUUGUAAACUCCUUUCGACAGCGAGGAAGCCACCUGGUUGGAAGGGUGGUGACGGUAGUGGUAGAAGAAGCACCGGCUAACUACGUG